rnacentral:tRNA from 1 species
GGUGGCUCAGUGGUAGAGCGCUUGCCUUGUGUGCUUGAGGCCCUGGGUUCGAUUCCUCAGCACCA